UGGGGGAUAUUGCACAAUGGGCGAAAGCCUGAUGCAGCGACGCCGCGUGGGGGAUGAAGGCCUUCGGGUUGUAAACUUCUUUUGCUCUGAACAAGGCGCACCAUGGGGUGUGUUGAGUGUAGGGGUUGAUUAGCGCCGGCUAACUACGUGCCAGCAGCCGCGGUAAUACGUAGGGCGCGAGCGUUGGCCGGAAUUAUUGGGCGUAAAGGGCUUGUAGGUGGAUGGUGGCGUCUGUCGUGAAAGCUCAUGGCUUAACUGUGGGUUUGCGGUGGGUACGGGCUGGCUUGAGUGCAGUAGGGGAGGCUGGAAUUCCUGGUGUAGCGGUGGAAUGCGCAGAUAUCAGGAGGAAUACCGGUGGCGAAGGCGGGUCUCUGGGCUGUUACUGACACUGAGGAGCGAAAGCAUGGGGAGCGAACAGG
rnacentral:rRNA from 1 species